AAGAAGCACAGAAUAAGGAUGGUUCAAACCUUCUUGCCCGUAUUGUUUUAAUUUUUUGCAUUGACAUCACGUUACUAUUAAUGUUACGAGUGCUGUGAGAAGAUCAGAUACCCAUCGUGCAAUUGACUAUGUACAAGGCUUAGGAAGACAUUAAUGGGCCAUCCAGUGCUCCUUUCUGUUGGACUGGAAGAAAGAGUCGCUGUUUUCUCAAAGAAAGCAUCUGUUCUAGAAGUAGCUAUGAAGAAAUAUAAAGGUCGUCUAGAGCUUGCACUGGGCAAAGUGAAUGUGACUCUGGAUCCAGACACAGCAAAUCCGUGCCUCAUUUUGUCUUUGGACAUCCAUGAGGGGAGAGUGGAAUGUGGUGUUGAAGAGCAGAACCUGCCCAACGUGCCCCAGAAAUUUGAUCCAGAGCCUUGUGUGCUGGGUUACAACAGAUUUACGUCAGGCAAUCAAUGGUGGGAGGUGGAGGUGCAGAAGGAAGGUCUGAUGUGGGCCAUAGGAAUUGCUAAAGAGAGGGUCAGAAGGAAGGGAAAUUUCAUCCCUAACACCAGUGAGGGAAUUUGGGCUAUAGGAAAGGCGUCAGGUGACUCCCACCUUUGCAGGUCUGGGCUUUUACUGCCCCUAAACCAACACUUUUGACCCUGAGAGAUAACCCAAAGAAGAUCUGUGUGUCCUUGGACUAUGAAGAGGGUCGUGUGGAAUUUUUUGAUGCCUGCACUCACCAACUGAUCUUUUCCUUUCCUUCCACCUCAUUCUCUGGCGAGACAAUCCGUCCCUUUUUCUGGGUAGAGCCAGGAGUCAGGUUGAAGUGCUGAAUCUUAAGAUGAUUCCCUUCCAUUCCCUCGAGUGCCAUUUUAAAAAGUGCUACUAUUUUUAAUGGGUUCCACAUGGGAUUUCUGAUCCCAAAGUACCAGACUACAGAUAUUCAAAAGCUACUGAUCAUGAUAGGGCUUUGAUUUAAUUGUGUCUGCUCUCAAAAAAGAAAGAAAAAGGGAAAAAAAGGAAAAGAAAAAAAGGUUCUUUCUCUGAUCUAGAUUUCUUAUCUGGAUUGUCAUUUUUGCGACCUUAAGCAUCACUUCUGGUGAGUUGUAAAUUAAAUAAACAAAUGUUAAAAUUUGUUUGAACUGGACCAGCUUUUCUUGACCUGGAAUCCACCAGGGUCAACUGAGGGCUCAAGAACCCCAUAUACUGAUUUGGCCAUUUUUUUAAAAAAAGAUUGUUUCAUAAUUUUCUGUUCACAUGACACACAGCCAACAUGGAUUCAUUUGUCCUGGAAAGCAGUUUUAUUUCCCCCUCACUGGGAGGGUGGUUUAGAAUUGUACUGAUGAUGAAUUGCUUCAUUCCUUAUCAUUUCAGCCUGUGUGAAUGUUGAUGUCAAUUUAUUUCCUUUGCAACAGGGCUGGGUUUCUGGAUGCUGUGGCUACUUCAAGGUGGCUGCUUUGUACCUUUUUUUAAAAAAAUCUUUUUUUAAAGGCACAUCGAUACAUUAAAGCAGUUGCCACAAAAAAGAGGAAUACAUUUCUCCAAAAGCACCCUCUGGGUAAGAAAAAAAACCCUUGCAGAAGAGAAAGGGCUAUUUCCUGCUUGGGAUUGUUUGAAGAGGAAAAAGAAAGAUACAAACCCAGGAAUACAUUGUUUCACCUUCUGGGUGAAAGGAGUCUAGAAAGAGACAUUUCCUGUUUUGAAUUGUGAAGAAAGGAGUGUUUAAUGUAUUUUCGAAAGCUUUCACGGCCGGGAUCUGAUGGUUGUUAUGGUUUUUUUGGGUUCUUUGGCCGUUUUCUGAAGGUUGUUCUU